rnacentral:lncRNA from 1 species
GAGGCUGACACAACAGACUUACAAGAUCAAGGCCAGCCUGUACAUAUAAUUAGUCCCCGUCCAGCCUGGGCUACAUGGUAAACUCCUGUCUAUGAAUGAAUAAGCAAGCAAACAAACAAGAAAUAUUUUUUAAUUAGUUCAUGUACUUUUUUAGUUGGAUUUUAAAAAACAUUUUCUAAGAGACUAGGUUGAAUUAUGAGCUUUUGUUUAUAAUUCACAAUUUUUGUUUUGUUUAUAUGGCCACAACGUCUAAAUGAUGCUGGAAGCAAGCUAUGGAAAUGGAAGAGGCAGUGGCUGUGCCUGGAAAUUCAGUAUUCUACCCGUGGUACUGGAGCCUGAACAUUCUUCUUACACUGCCCAACUGAGCUGGGAAAGAAGAGUUGGAAACCUCAGCUGUCCUUGGAGGCUGCCUUGUGACUUACUUGACUUUUCUGAGCUUCCAAGUACCCACAGC